rnacentral:lncRNA from 13 species
CCUUAAAUAUAUGAAAAGUAUAUCUUGUCCGAAACAAGAUGGAUAAAGCCGUUAAAUCAUCAGCAAAGAGUGCGACGCCACGUCACUGGCUGUGAUGACAGGCGUGAUAAUGCUAAGCCCGAGGGACUUUCCCGUAACUUGGAUUUUGCGCUGUUUUUCGCGUCUUACAUCGAACGAUAACGAUUAAUGAUAAGAGAACAAUAUAUUUGAACGUGAGGCUCGCAACGUACAUCAUGAUGCUGUUAGUUGCAAUCUGUGCUUUGUUUACCGAUACUCAUGCACUCCCGGAACACAGACCUCGCUUACCGGAAGGUCCUGGCUACGUCCUAUUUAAUCCUUGACAACCUUGGCCAGUACCGUGGCCAAAUCACGGCCGUUAAUAAUCUGAUUAAAACUACUAUUAAAAAUUAUGAGAGAGACUAAAAAUACAUGAAGCUCAUUUGUCUCGCUA